AUUGAACGCUGGCGGCAGGCCUAACACAUGCAAGUCGAACGAGUGGCGGAGGGGUGAGUAAUGUCGGGGAAACUGCCUGAUGGAGGGGUAUAACUACUGGAAACGGUAGCUAAUACCGCAUACCAUCGGAUGUGCCCAGAUGGGAUUAGCUAGUGGGUGGGGUAAAGGCUCACCGAGGCGAAGCUCCCUAGCUGGUCUGAGAGGAUGACCAGCCACACUGGAACUGAGACACGGUCCAGACUCCUACGGGAGGCAGCAGUGGGGAAUAUUGCACAAUGGGCGCAAGCCUGAUGCAGCCAUGCCGCGUGUAUGAAGAAGGCCUUCGGGUUGUAAAGUACUUUCAGCGGAGAGGCGUUACCCGAAGAAGAAGCCCCGGCUAACUCCGUGCCAGCAGCCGCGGUAAUUC
rnacentral:rRNA from 1 species